AUUGAACGCUGGCGGCAGGCCUAACACAUGCAAGUCGAACGAGUGGCGCACGGGUGAGUAAUGUCUGGGAAACUGUCUGAUGGAGGGGGAUAACUACUGGACGCGGUCGCUAAUACCGCAUACCAUCAGAUGCGCCCAGAUGUGAUUAGCUAGUUGGUGGGGUAACGGCUCCCCAAGGCGACGAGCCCUCGCGGUGCGGAGAGGAUGACCAGCCACACGGGAACUGAGACACGGUCCAGACUCCUACGGGAGGCAGCAGUGGGGAAUAUUGCACAAUGGGCGCAAGCCUGAUGCAGCCAUGCCGCGUGUAUGAAGAAGGCCUUCGGGUUGUAAAGCACUUUCAGCGGGGAGGCGUUACACGCAGAAGAAGCACCGGCUAACUCCGUGCCAGCCGCCGCGGUAAUAC
rnacentral:rRNA from 1 species